CAUAAAAUCAUUCGAACAAGUAAAAUCAAUUUGUCUGAAAAAUGAAAUAAGACGUAUUUGUACUGCAAGUCCAAAAAUCAAUAAAUUGUCUGAAACCAGGGAGUUCAUCUUUUAUGCUCUUCCAUUGACUUAUCUCCCUUGGGUAAGAUCUCAAACAUGUCAGCUCCAAGUGAUGGUUUGGCAGACAAAUGUUUACAGUGAAGUUUGUGACUUUAAUAAUCUAGGAUGAGCAUGUGGGCUAUCCCAGCCUUAUACAUCUACAUAUUACAAACUAUUUAAGAUAUCUGAAUGCACUAAAGACCAAAAUAGCAAUUCCCAAAAAAAUAAUUACUGCCAAGAAAUUUGACAAUCAUGACAAUAAUUUAGUGAAUAAACAUGAUAAAUAUUGAUUGGAAAAAUAAGUCCAUGAACAGCAAAAAGUGUUUUUAGAUUUCAACGAGCAAAACAAAAGUAUUCUAAAUCAUUCUUCGUAAAAAAAAAAGUGAGCCAGUGGAACCAACUUGCUCGCACCAAAAUUGAGAUUGAGAGUGUCUGGCGCACCAUCAAUAAAUCAACGACACUCUCUCUACCGUGGUAUUGAAACCAGCAUUGGUAACCAAACAUAUUCAUACAGAUACAGACUACCAUUCAUCUACAUUUAGGAAGUCUGAAUAAUACUGAAAACUAUGGUGUAGAAUUUCCAACAGGACUCCUUAUUUUAUAUAAGACAAGGAGUGGUUUAUUUUCCCAUGGUUGUUACAUCAUCUUGUCUUUGAAUAUGCUCGAAGUACAGGGACUUUUAUGGAAUUCAUUGACAUGAUAGUCAAGCAAGAUGUCAACAUCUCGUCCAACCCUCUUCCAGCAAAGCCAAAGCUGACCAAGGAUCUUCACCCUUUCAAAACAGGCUGUAUACAGGACGAGUUAUUCCAGUAGGAACAGGGCUAUAUAUAUAUGCAAGCAAUGCUCAAUUAAGAUGAAUUAUUGUAAAAGUGACAUUAGCCAGCUGGUCAAACUAAAUACAUGUAUAGAAGAAGAUAUUGAUCUAGACUCGCAGCUAACCUUUCUGUCAGUGUCAACAACAACUGAACUUUCACAGCAGUCAACAUCAGAUUGAGAGACUGAUAAUGCUUCUAACAGAAAAAAUUUCAACCAACCAAACAAGCAACAGAAACUUUCCAACUUUAAAACAUCAGUUAAAUCUUCCAUGGGAUGAUGUCUCAAAAAAUAACAGUUCAUCAUUUAUGGAGAUUUUAAUGUUAUGGUUUUUCUUUUACAAGAAAGUUAAUGUACACUUGUUUUAUAGUAAAACCUAUAGCCGUUCAAGUAUAAAAAAGCACAUUCAACUUUAUUGAAAUUUGAAGAUUCAUAUGACUUAUUUUAAUUCUGUUAUCUCCGAGGAUGUGAUGUAGAGCAUUAUAGGUACAGUAAUCUUAACAACUAUCCAAUUUCAUUCAAAAUUCUUUAUACAUUUUGCACUGGUAUAUAUAGACUAAGUAAUUUGUUUUUCGUCUAGUUAUGGGAUUUUUAAUACCCCACGCAACGAGUUGCGGAGGGUAUAAUGUUUUUGACCCGUCCGUCUGUCUGUCUGUCAGUCCGUCAGUCCUGUUUCUUGUCAUCGCAACUCCUCUCAAACCACACAACAGAAUUUCACGAAACCUUUUUAGAUAAUAAGUACAUACUAUGUAGUUGUGCAUAUAGACAGGAAAUUACGAUUCAAUUCUUUUUCUAGGAGUUACGCCCCUUUGAAUUUAUUUACUUUAAUGUACAACUGCAACAGUUUGUCAUCGCAACUCCUCUCAAACCACACAACAGAAUUUCAUGAAACCUUUUCAGAUAAUAAGGACAUACUACGUAGAUGUGCAUAUCGACAGGAAAUUACGAUUCAAUUUUUUUUCCAGGAGUUACGCCCCUUUGAACUUAUUUGCCAAAUAUACUACUGCAACCUUUUGUCAUCGCAACUCCUCUCAAACCACACAACAGAAUUUCAUGAAACCUUUUCAGAUAAUAAGGACAUACUACGUAGAUGUGCAUAUCGACAGGAAAUUACGAUUCAAUUUUUUUUCCAGGAAUUACGCCCCUUUGAACUUAUUUGCCCAAUAUACUACUGCAACCUUUUGUCAUCGCAACUCCUCUCAAACCACACAACAGAAUUUCAUGAAACUGUGUAGAUAAUAAGGACAUACUACGUCGAUGUGCAUAUUGACAGGAAAUUAUGAUUCAAUUUAUUUUUUCUGAUACAAUUUUUUUUUCUUACACUUAUUAUAUUUCUCCAAUGACAAUGUGGGGACGUGGGGUAUGUGAGCGCGCUCACUAAGGUUCUUUCAUUUUAGAAGCAUUUAUGAUUUUCAUGUUUGUAUUGACCACAUUGCAGCAACAUAGAUAUAGGUACCUGGCAAAUCUUGCCUUGUUAGCAUACUAGGCUCAAAGGGUCAUAACAAAAUGUCCAUCACUAUUGACUAAGUGU